GUGGGGAAUAUUGCGCAAUGGGCGAAAGCCUGACGCAGCGACGCCGCGUGGGGGAGGAAGGCCCUAGGGUUGUAAACCCCUGUCAGGUGGGACGAACCCUGGGUCGACGAAUAGUUGGCUCAGCUGACGGUACCAUCAGAGGAAGCUCCGGCUAACUCCGUGCCAGCAGCCGCGGUAACACGGGGGGAGCAAGCGUUGUUCGGAAUCACUGGGCGUAAAGCGCGCGUAGGCGGCCGAGUAAGUCGUAUGUGAAAGCCCGGGGCUCAACUCCGGUAUUGCAUGCGAUACUGCCCGGCUGGAGAAAGGUAGAGGCAAGUGGAAUUCCCGGUGUAGCGGUGGAAUGCGUAGAUAUCGGGAAGAACACCUGUGGCGAAGGCGGCUUGCUGGGCCUUUUCUGACGCUGAAGUGCGAAAGCGUGGGGAGCAAACAGG
rnacentral:rRNA from 1 species